rnacentral:rRNA from 1 species
UAUCGGAAUUCGAUUAAGCCAUGCGAGUCGAGAGGGUUCGGCCCUCGGCAGACUGCUCAGUAACACGUGGAUAACCUGCCCUCAGGUAGGGGAUAAUCUCGGGAAACUGAGGAUAAUACCCUAUAGACAUCCUUUGCUGGAAUGCUUGGAUGUUCAAAGGCGACGCCUGAGGAUGGGUCUGCGGCCUAUCAGGUCGUAGUGGGUGUAAUGGACCCACUAGCCAGCGACGGGUACGGGCCUUGGAAGAGGUAGCCCGGAGAUGGACUCUGAGACACGAGUCCAGGCCCUACGGGGCGCAGCAGGCGCGAAAACUUCGCAAUGCGGGAAACCGUGACGAGGGAAUUCCGAGUGCUCAUACAAUGUAUAGGCUUUUCUGACGUGUAAAAAGCAUCAGGAAUAAGGGCUGGGUAAGACCGGUGCCAGCCGCCGCGGUAAUACCGGCAGCUCUAGUGGUAGCCACUUUUAUUGGGCCUAAAGCGUCCGUAGCCGGUCAGGUAAAUCCUUGGGUAAAUCGUACAGCUCAACUGUGCGGCUUCCGGGGAGACUGCCUGACUUGGGACCGGGAGAGGUUGGAGGUACUCCUGGGGUAGGGGUGAAAUCCUGUAAUCCUAGGUGGACCACCGGUGGCGAAGGCGUCCAACCAGAACGGCUCCGACGGUGAGGGACGAAGGCUAGGGGCGCAAACCGGAUUAGAUACCCGGGUAGUCCUAGCUGUAAACGCUGCAGACUUGGUGUUGGAGAUCCCACGAGGGUGUCCAGUGCCGAAGAGAAGUUGUUAAGUUUGCCGCCUGGGAAGUAUGGUCGCAAGACUGAAACUUAAAGGAAUUGGCGGGGGAGCACCGCAACGGGAGGAGCGUGCGGUUUAAUUGGAUUC